rnacentral:rRNA from 1 species
GACGAACGCUGGCGGCGUGCUUAACACAUGCAAGUCGAACGGAAAGGCCCUGCUUUUGUGGGGUGCUCGAGUGGCGAACGGGUGAGUAACACGUGAGUAACCUGCCCUUGCCUUUGGGAUAACUUCAGGAAACUGGGGCUAAUACCGGAUAGGAGCUCCUGCUGCAUGGUGGGGGUUGGAAAGUUUCGGCGGUUGGGGAUGGACUCGCGGCUUAUCAGCUUGUUGGUGGGGUAGUGGCUUACCAAGGCUUUGACGGGUAGCCGGCCUGAGAGGGUGACCGGCCACAUUGGGACUGAGAUACGGCCCAGACUCCUACGGGAGGCAGCAGUGGGGAAUAGUGCACAAGGGGCGGAAGCCUGAUGCAGCAACGCCGCGUGCGGGAUGACGGCCUGCGGGUUGUAAACCGCUUUCGCCUGUGACGAAGCGUGAGUGACGGUAAUGGGUAAAGAAGCACCGGCUAACUACGUG